rnacentral:rRNA from 1 species
UACGUAGGGUGCGAGCGUUGUCCGGAAUUAUUGGGCGUAAAGAGCUCGUAGGCGGUCUGUCGCGUCGGCUGUGAAAACUCGGGGCUCAACUCCGAGCUUGCAGUCGAUACGGGCAGGCUAGAGUUCGGCAGGGGAGACUGGAAUUCCUGGUGUAGGCGGUGAAAUGCGCAGAUAUCAGGAGGAACACCGGUGGCGAAGGCGGGUCUCUGGGCCGAUACUGACGCUGAGGAGCGAAAGCGUGGGGAGCGAACAGG